GCACGUAAGUCGCCACACGCGCAUGCUCAUUUACUUACAAGUGUGCGCGCUGGUCUCCAUACGAGUCUGCUGCUCUACAUACGAGCAUCUCAGUCUCCAUACGAGUCUGCUGCUCUAUAUACGAGCAUCUCAGCCUCCAUGCGAGCCUGCUGCUCCGCACAUGAGCACGUAAGUCGCCACGCGCGCACGCUCCUUUACAUUUGAGCACGUAAGUCGCCACGCGCGCACGCUCCUUUACAUUUGAGCACGUAAGUCGCCACGCGCGCACGCUCCUUUACAUUUGAGCACGUAAGUCGCCACGCGCGCACGCUCCUUUACAUUUGAGCACGUAAGUCGCCACGCGCGCACGCUUCUUUACAUUUGAGCACGUAAGUCGCCACGCGCGCACGCUCCUUUACAUUUGAGCACGUAAGUCGCCACGCGCGCACGCUCCUUUACAUUUGAGCACGUAAGUCGCCAUCCGCGCAUGCUCCUUUACAUUUGAGCACGUAAGUCGCCACGCGCGCAUGCUCCGUGACAUUUGAGCACGUAAGUCGCCAUCCGCGCAUGCUCCGUGACAUUUGAGCACGUAAGUCGCCAUCCGCGCAUGCUCCUUUACAUUUGAGCACGUAAGUCGCCACGCGCGCAUGCUCCUUUACAUUUGAGCACCUAAGUCGCCAUCCGCGCAAGUUGCUUUACAUACAAGCACGUAAGUCGCCACGCGCGCACGCUCGUUUACAUUUGAGCACGUAAGUCGCCACGCGCGCAUGCUUUUUGACAUUUGAGCACCUAAGUCGCCAUCCGCGCAAGUUGCUUUACAUUUGAGCACGUAAGCCGCCACACACGCAUGCUUUUUUACUUAUGAGCACGUAAGUCGCCGACUGGCGCAUGCUCUUUUACAUACGAGCAAGUAAGUCGCCAAGCGCGCAUGCUCCUGUACUUACGAGUGAGCACACAUGCGCUAGCAGUCGCAUGAUCCUCCACAUACGAUCCCGUUAGUCGCCUCGCGCGCAUACUCCAUUAGUUACGAGCACGU
rnacentral:lncRNA from 1 species